rnacentral:rRNA from 1 species
CACGUAGGCGGUUUUUUAAGUCUGUUGUGAAAGCGCCGCGCUUAACGCGGCAAGUGCAAUGGAAACUGGGGAACUGGAGGGUGUCAGAGGCAAGCGGAAUUCCCGGUGUAGCGGUAAAAUGCACAGAGAUCGGGAGGAACACCAGUGGCGAAGGCGGCUUGCUGGGGCACAACUGACGCUGAGGUGCGAAAGCGUGGGGAGCAAACA